UACAGAGGGUGCGAGCGUUAAUCGGAAUUACUGGGCGUAAAGCGUGCGUAGACGGUUAUGUAAGUCAGGUGUGAAAGCCCCGGGCUCAACCUGGGAAUUGCAUUUGAGACUGCAUAGCUAGGGUGCGGAAGAGGGAAGCGGAAUUUCCGGUGUAGCGGUGAAAUGCGUAGAUAUCGGAAGGAACAUCAGUGGCGAAAGCGGCUUCCUGGUCCAGCACCGACGUUCAGGCACGAAAGCGUGGGGAGCGAACAGG
rnacentral:rRNA from 1 species